GGAAUGUACAAGGAAGAGGUCAUGUGGGCACACAGUGAAAUGGCAGAAGAUUACACAUUUGAAUCGUGGCUAGCGAAACUGAGAUGUGCUUACAUCCAAAAAGGCUUUAAAUCUAUGGAAUAAUUCAUGAUUUAUGAGGAUAAAGUCUUAGAAGAACUGUUACAUGUUGAGCCUCUAAAUUCCUCAACAAAAUCCCAGCCUUCACGUGAUUUAAUAUUAUGCUAAUAUGCAUACAACAUGGAUGUUGGCCUCUGGUCACAGGGAUGACAUUUGCAUGUUGCAGAAUUUGUUCUUGGACCUUCAAAAUCAAUCCUACCAUUAAACAGUGCUCAUAUAUACCUCUUUUCUUGGCAUUUCAUUGUUUUUCUUCUUUGCUUUCAUCUUCAUCCUAAUUGCAUUCCUCUGUUAACUAGCACUGUCAACAUUCUUUCUGUUUUGCACUUAAGAAACAUGACAGCCAGGUGUGGUGGCUCAUGCCAGUAAUCCCAGCACUUUGGGAGGCCGAGGCAGAUGGAUCACCAGAGGUCAGGAGUUCAAGACCAGGCUGGGCAACACGGUGAAACCCCAUCUCUACUAAAAACACAAAAAUUAGCCAGGCAUGGUGGCAUGCACUUGUAAUUCCAGCUACUGGGGAGGCUGAGGUAGAAGAACCGCUUGAACCUGGGAGACGGAGACUGCAGUGAGCUGAGUCAUGCCAUUGCACUCUAUCCUGGGCAACAAGAGUGAAACUUGGUAUCAAAAAUAAAAAAAAAAAGAAAGAGAAGAAAGAAACAUGACAAAGCUAAUAAUAUUCGUGUUCAACUUCAAAACCAGGUAUAAAGACCAGCAGACAUGCUGAACACUGAUAAGUAAUGUAGUGACUACACACAACAACUGCUUCAUUAUCCAUCUGUUGAAGGAGGUCAGGGAUUAUAUACUUUGGCUCUGGAGUGCAGCUAUGUUCCUAAUCUGUGAUAUUCAAGUAACACUUUGGGUAAAGGAGCUUCUAUAGCAAUAAUAAGGACUACAUCUUCUUCAUAGUAAAGCCCCUACAUUCUCAGAGCCUGUCUAUGAUUGGUUUAUAGGCAACUCUAACGAGUAACAUUCUCUUGAGCUUUCUCACCAGAAAAUUAAGAGUAGCACAUAAUAAAGCUAGAACCAUACACUAAUAACAGCCAGAAGUGAUGCUUUACAGUGAAGGUGAAGCAUCUAAACCAUGAAAACAUAAAAUAACUCCAAGACCAUUUACUGUAGAAGAAAUAGCCCUAUGCAAGUAAAAUGCUCCUGAGGGUGCUACUUACCAUAUUAUAGCACAGUAGCUGAUGAACCAGAGUCACUAAAACACUAAAUUAUGCUUACUCUUUUUAAAAAGGCAGAAAAUAACAAAAUGAACAACAAAACACAAAACACGAAACAAGAAACACCAAAGUAUUUUGUCUACUUCCAAAAAAUAGGAAAUACCUUGAGAAGGAUUUUCUCAUUAUUAUUUCAUUCAAUCACGAAUCACUUUGGAUAGACAUUAUAACUCUCAUGUUAUAGACAUGAUCCAGAGAACUUAAGGAAUUACCCAUCUACUAAAAUUUAGGUCUAAAUGAUUCCAACGUCCUCACUUUUUACCACAAUAGCACACUGAUACGGUUUGGAUCUGUGUCCCUGCCCUAAUCUCAUGACCAGUUGUAAUCCCGUGUUGGAGGGGGGACCUGGUGAGAGGUGAUUGGAUCGGGGAGCAGUUUCUCAUGGUUUAACACUGCCCCUCUUAGUGCUGUCAUCACGAUAGUGAGUUCUCACAAAAUCUGGCUGUUUAAAAGUGUAUGGCACUUCUCUCCACCUUCCUCCUGCUCUGGGCAUGUGGGGUGUUUGCUCCCCAUUUCCCUUUCUCCAUGAUUGUAAGUUCCCUGAAGCCUUCUCAGAAGCUGAACAGAUGCCAGCAUCAUGCUUCCUGCACAGUCUGCAGAACUAAGAACUAAUUAAAUCUUUUUUUAAUAAAUCACCUAGUCUCUGGUAUUUCUUCAUAGCAGCAUGAGAAUAAACUAAUACAAAAAAUUGAUACUGAACAGUGGGGCACUGCUUUAAAGAUAUCUGAAAAUGUGGACAUGGCUUUGCGACUGGACAACAGGCAGAAGUUGGAAGAGUGGGGAGGUCUUAGUAGACAGGAAGAUAAGGGGAAAUUUGGAACUUUUACUACAGACUUGUUACAAUAAAUUGUUGUGACCAAGAUGCUGAUAGUGAUAUGGACAACGAAGUCCAGGCUGAGGAGGUCACAAAUGGAAAUGAGGAAUUUACUGGGAAUUGGAGUAAAGGUCACUUUUGCUAUGCCUUAGCAAAGAGCCUGGCUGCACUGUGUGUCUGGCUCUAGAGAUCUGUAGAAUUUUGAGUUUGAGAGUGAUGAUUUAGGAUAUCUGGCAGAAUAAACUUCCAAGCAGCAAAGGGUUCAAAAAUUGACUUGGCUGCUUCUAACAACCUGUGUUCAUAUGCAUGAACAAAGAAAUGAUCUGAAACUGUAACUUAUAUUUAAAAAGGAAACAGAGAGUAAAAAUUUGAAAAAUUUGGAAAAUUUCCAGCCUGGCCAUGUGGGAGAAAAGAAAAGCCAAUUUUCUGGGAAGGAAUUCAAGCAGGCUACAGAAAUUUGCAUAACUAAAAGAAAGGCAAGUAUUGAUAACCAAGACAAUGGGGACAAGGUCUUG
ensembl:lncRNA